GUUAAAUACAUUUACAGCUUUAAAUGUGACCAAAUGAUACUAAAUGAUGUUUUAAGCAGCCAGCCCAGUUCAAUUCAAUAGCAUAAGUAUUCUACUACUUAAAGUGCACAAUUCCUGCACAUAAUGACUUUGCUUACUUAGGUACAGUCUUUAGUCUAUUGCAAUGACAGGAUUAAAGUCCACCAAUUUUAAAAGGGAAAGCUUACUUAAAUCAGUGGUACUAUCCCACCGUACCUGUAGUGCUAGCAGUAAGGCAAUUAGAACAAUGAUAUUGUACUACUGACUGUUAUCAGAUCAGACACAUGUAAU